rnacentral:rRNA from 1 species
UACGUAGGGUGCAAGCGUUGUCCGGAAUUAUUGGGCGUAAAGAGCUCGUAGGCGGUUUGUUGCGUCGGCUGUGAAAUCCCGAGGCUCAACCUCGGGUCUGCAGUCGAUACGAGCAAACUAGAGUGUUGCAGGGGGAGACUGGAAUUCCUGGUGUAGCGGUGAAAUGCGCAGAUAUCAGGAGGAACACCGGUGGCGAAGGCGGGUCUCUGGGGCAACAACUGACGCUGAGGAGCGAAAGCGUGGGGGAGCGAAACAGG